rnacentral:tRNA from 1 species
UCCCAGGUGGCUCAGUGGUGAAGAAUCUGCCUGCAAUGCAGGAGAUGCAAGUUUGAACCCUGCGUGGGGAA